rnacentral:sRNA from 1 species
GUGAAAGAAGCCAAACUGACAGCAUCACUAUUUAUCAACAGAACAGGUACAAUAUAGGAAGCAGAAGUACAAGCUUCACCACAGCAACCUGCCAAAGUGCUUUGCCUCACCACUGAACUACUUUAGACAGGCCACAUCAUAGGAUGAAAGAAUAGUUCAAGUUCCCAUGUCCAUUUAAUCCAUGGCUUGA